rnacentral:lncRNA from 1 species
CUAACCACGCCAGAACGACUUCUUUUACUCGUUUCCAUCCAAACGCCAGAACGACUCCUAAUACCAGUAUGGAGGGAGUACGGAGGUUGCCCUCGAUCAGAUCAACCCGGUGAAUUAUUUUCCACGCAGUGUCCGUCGUUGAGGGGCCGGGCGAUGCCCACUGUCUCUUAUGAUGUUAUCCACCCGCAUAACCAUGGUAGCAACCAAUGCAUCUUAAUUACUGAUCGUUACAAUAUUUGAUUCCGAAGAAUAACACGAGUUAUUCUUGCUGCAGAAAUCAGCAGACCCGUUCAAUCGAUAUUUUAAAGUGCGCAUCGUAGAGGGCAAGAUGGUGUGCCUAUUGUCUGUAAAAGCUAUCUCGUAUAUAUAAUAACACCAAUCAAUUCUGUCAUGCAUUUUUCCUUUCAUAAGCAAUUCGGUCAUAUAUUGGAUGGAACUGACAAGUUCAUG